GGCGGCGUUAGCUAACUUCUUAAAAGCUUUAUAUUUUAGAAGGUGGAAGACCUGGAUGCUUCAUACUCUGUAUAUAGAUGCCUUAUGUUACAAAGUUUCCGUCUGUUACAUGUCCAUUGUCCUUGACCUCAUUUUCAUGGUUCAGUGACUACUUGAAAAAAAAGUUGUGAUUUUUUGUAAUGUUAAUUUCUCUCUUAUUAUAAGUAAUAGGAUAACUAUAUUUGGUAUGUGCAUACCUAUCAAGGUCCUCAUGCCCGUCAGACAGUUUUCACUUGACCUCAACCUUAUUUCAUGGAUCAGUGAACAAGGUUAAGUUUUGGUGGUCAAGUCCAUAUCUCAGAUACUAUAAGCAAUAGGUCUAGUAUAUUUGGUGUAUGGAAGGAUUGUAAGGUGUACAUGUUCAACUGGAAGGUUUCAUCUGACCUUGACCUCAUUUUCAUGGUUCAGUGGUAAUAGUUAAGUUUUUGUGUUUUGGUCCGUUUUUCUUAUACUUUAUGCAAUAGGUCUACUAUAUUUGGUGUAUGGAAUGAUUGUAAGGUGUACAUGUCUAGCGGGCAGGUGUCAUCUGACCUUGACCUCAUUUUCAUGGUUCAGUGGUUAUAGUUAAGUUUUUGUGUUUUGGUCUGUUUAUCUUAUACUGUAUGCCAUAGGUCUACUAUAUUUGGUGUAUGGAAUGAUUGUAAGGUGUACAUGUCUAGCUGGUAGGUGUCUUCUGACCUUGACCUCAUUUUCAUGGUUCAGUGGUCAAAGUUAAGUUUUUGAGUUUUGGUCUUUUUUUCUAAUACUAUAUGCAAUAGGUCAUCUAUAUUUGGUGUAUGGAAAUAUUUUAUGAUGUACCUGUCAGUCUUGCAGGUUUUAUUUGACCUUGACCUCAUUUUCACGGUUCAUUGCUCAGUGUUAAGUUUUUGUGUUUUGGUCUGUUUUUCUAAUACUAUAAGCAAUAGGUCAACUAUAUUUGUUGUAUGGAAGGAUUGCAAGCUGUAGUACAUGUCUGCCUGGCAUUGUUCAUCUGACCUUGACCUCAUUUUCUUGGUUCAUUGGUCAAUGUUUAGUUUUCUUGGUUAAGUCUGUAUCUUAGAAACUAUAAACAAUAGGUCAACUAUAUUUAGUGUAUUGAAUGAUUGUAAGGUGUACAUGUAUUUCUUGUUUGGUUUAUAUGACCUUGACCUCAUUUUCUUGGAUCAUGUUAAGUGUAUGUGAUAGUUGUAGUAAAGCUUUAUAUUUAGGACUAUCAACAUAAUAUCAAUGAUUAGUAAAGAAGGCGAGACAUUUCAGCGUGUGCACAC